GACGGGUAGCUGUCUGAGAGGAUGACCAGUCACACUGGAACUGAGACACGGUCCAGACACCUACGGGGGGCAGCAGUCGAGAAUCAUUCGCAAUGGGCGAAAGCCUGACGGUGCGACGCCGCGUGGAGGAUGAAGGCCUUAGGGUCGUAAACUCCUGUCAUCGGUGAGUAAGGCGGGUCGGUUAAUAGCCGGGUCCGUUGAUAGUAGCCGAAGAGGAAGGGACGGCUAACUUCGUGCCAGCAGCCGCGGUAAUACGAAGGUCCCAAGCGUUGUUCGGAAUUACUGGGCGUAAAGCGUGCGUAGGCGGCGAGGUAAGUCAGAUGUGAAAUCCCGGGGCUCAACCCCGGAACUGCAUCCGAUACUGCCUUGCUAGAGUAAUGGAGGGGCAUCUGGAAUUCACGGUGUAGCAGUGAAAUGCAUGGAUAUCGUGAGGAACACUAGUGGCGAAGGCGAGAUGCUGGACAUUUACUGACGCUGAGGUACGAAGGCCAGGGGAGCGAACGGGAUUAGAUACCCCGGUAGUCCUGGCAGUAAACGGUGCUCGCUUGGUGUGGGGGGAUUCGACCCCCUCCGUGCCGAAGCUAACGCGUUAAGCGAGCCGCCUGGGGAGUACGGCCGCAAGGUUAAAACUCAAAGAAAUUGACGGGGACCCGCACAAGCGGUGGAGUAUGUGGCUUAAUUCGAUGCAACGCGAAGAACCUUACCUAGGCUUGACAUGCGUCUCUAAGCCGUUCGAAAGGCGGUGAGCGGAGCAAUCCGCAAUUCGCACAGGUGCUGCAUGGCUGUCGUCAGCUCGUGUCGUGAGAUGUUUGGUUAAGUCCAGCAACGAGCGUAACCCCUGUGUCCUGUUACCAGCGCGUUAUGGCGGGGACUCUGGACAGACUGCCCAGAUCAACUGGGAGGAAGGUGGGGAUGACGUCAAGUCAGUAUGGCCCUUAUGCCUAGGGCUGCACACGUACUACAAUGCCCAGCACAAUGUGAACCGAUACCGUAAGGUGGAGGAAAUCCUGAAAACUGGGCUCAGUUCGGAUUGGGGGCUGCAACUCGCCCCCAUGAAGUCGGAAUCGCUAGUAAUGGCACAUCAGCUACGGUGCCGUGAAUACGUUCCCGGGUCUUGUACACACCGCCCGUCACAUCAUGGAAGCCGAUCACACCCGAAGUGCCCCCGCCAACCUCGUGAGGCAGGGCCCUAAGGUGAGAUUGGUAACUGG
rnacentral:rRNA from 1 species